GACGAACUUUGGCGGCGUGCUUAACACAUGCAAGUCGAACGGAAAGGCCCUGCUUUUGUGGGGUGCUCGAGUGGCGAACGGGUGAGUAACACGUGAGUAACCUGCCCUUGACUUUGGGAUAACUUCAGGAAACUGGGGCUAAUACCGGAUAGGAGCUCCUGCUGCAUGGUGGGGGUUGGAAAGUUUCGGCGGUUGGGGAUGGACUCGCGGCUUAUCAGCUUGUUGGUGGGGUAGUGGCUUACCAAGGCUUUGACGGGUAGCCGGCCUGAGAGGGUGACCGGCCACAUUGGGACUGAGAUACGGCCCAGACUCCUACGGGAGGCAGCAGUGGGGAAUAUUGCACAAUGGGCGGAAGCCUGAUGCAGCAACGCCGCGUGCGGGAUGACGGCCUUCGGGUUGUAAACCGCUUUCGCCUGUGACGAAGCGUGAGUGACGGUAAUGGGUAAAGAAGCACCGGCUAACUACGUGCCAGCAGCCGCGGUGAUACGUAGGGUGCGAGCGUUGUCCGGAUUUAUUGGGCGUAAAGGGCUCGUAGGUGGUUGAUCGCGUCGGAAGUGUAAUCUUGGGGCUUAACCCUGAGCGUGCUUUCGAUACGGGUUGACUUGAGGAAGGUAGGGGAGAAUGGAAUUCCUGGUGGAGCGGUGGAAUGCGCAGAUAUCAGGAGGAACACCAGUGGCGAAGGCGGUUCUCUGGGCCUUUCCUGACGCUGAGGAGCGAAAGCGUGGGGAGCGAACAGGCUUAGAUACCCUGGUAGUCCACGCUGUAAACGGUGGGUACUAGGUGUGGGGUCCAUUCCACGGGUUCCGUGCCGUAGCUAACGCUUUAAGUACCCCGCCUGGGGAGUACGGCCGCAAGGCUAAAACUCAAAGGAAUUGACGGGGCCCCGCACAAGCGGCGGAGCAUGCGGAUUAAUUCGAUGCAACGCGUAGAACCUUACCUGGGUUUGACAUGGAUCGGGAGUGCUCAGAGAUGGGUGUGCCUCUUUUGGGGUCGGUUCACAGGUGGUGCAUGGCUGUCGUCAGCUCGUGUCGUGAGAUGUUGGGUUAAGUCCCGCAACGAGCGCAACCCUUGUUCACUGUUGCCAGCACGUUAUGGUGGGGACUCAGUGGAGACCGCCGGGGUCAACUCGGAGGAAGGUGGGGAUGACGUCAAGUCAUCAUGCCCCUUAUGUCCAGGGCUUCACGCAUGCUACAAUGGCUGGUACAGAGAGUGGCGAGCCUGUGAGGGUGAGCGAAUCUCGGAAAGCCGGUCUCAGUUCGGAUUGGGGUCUGCAACUCGACCUCAUGAAGUCGGAGUCGCUAGUAAUCGCAGAUCAGCAACGCUGCGGUGAAUACGUUCCCGGGGC
rnacentral:rRNA from 1 species